CCGAAGAACACAGAACAGGAAGGGGAGGGACUCUCCGUUGGACCGGAGCCGUAUAUGUUCGUCGCUCCGGUCACAUCCAGUCCUUUACUCGCGGCUCGGUGAGGGGACACGGACCACGGCUACACCGUUACCAGUUUCUUCUACAACCCUCACGCCAUGACCGUUAAAAGAAGAGAGAGAGAGACGGGAGUCGCCCACUUUCUGUCGCCGAGUGGUUCAGCUGGUCUCGAAGAGGCCUGACUGUUCAGUCAGAGAGGACAAUCACUCGCUUGGAAGCAUGCUGGAGCUGGAGUCCUGACGACUUGCUUGAAGAAACGGAAAACGACUCGCCUUGAAGAUGCAGCUUCUGAGAGUAAAUUUGAAGCAGAAACAGAUGACGGUGGGGAGGCCGAGGGUCGGAUGGAUCUGCGUUUAGCAGAGUGAAGACUUUGGAGCUGGCUGAACUCGAUCCCUCAGGGACGAUGUGAUGGUACUGAGAUUCAAGUUGAACGGGACCUCGUCAGGUGGGAGAGCUGGUAAGAAUGAGGAGGCUUCAAACAUCCAAGGCCCAUGUGUUUCAGGGGAUCGAAGUUCGUAUUGACCUGGGGAACACGGCUCGGUUUGAGAGCUGGUAGAGUCAUGGUUCAACACAGAGGAAAUAAAUACUCCUGAUGGUCCUGCUGAUGUCAGGCAACUGGUGAUCUGGUUCAUUUGAAUGGGUUCCCCAACACUUUAUGCAAAUAUUGUCACCGUCCAGAAAAGUGCUGCCAUCGAGCUGUACAACAAACCUGAGGGAAGAAACUUAUCAUUUUUAUCAUGUUUAGUGGUGAACAAAAUAAUGGAACCUACAGUCAUGGUGUUAAAAUAAUGUUGAAACUAUUGCAUCGCACUGUCAAGUUGGUGUCGUUUGAAUAAACAGUUACUUGGUUAACUUCUAAA